AGAGUUUGAUCCUGGCUCAGGACGAACGCUGGCGGCGUGCUUAACACAUGCAAGUCGAACGGAAAGGCCCUUCGGGGUACUCGAGUGGCGAACGGGUGAGUAACACGUGGGUGAUCUGCCCUGCACUUUGGGAUAAGCCUGGGAAACUGGGUCUAAUACCGAAUAUGACCACGCUCUUCAUGGGGUGUGGUGGAAAGCUUUUGCGGUGUGGGAUGGGCCCGCGGCCUAUCAGCUUGUUGGUGGGGUAAUGGCCUACCAAGGCGACGACGGGUAGCCGGCCUGAGAGGGUGACCGGCCACACUGGGACUGAGAUACGGCCCAGACUCCUACGGGAGGCAGCAGUGGGGAAUAUUGCACAAUGGGCGCAAGCCUGAUGCAGCGACGCCGCGUGAGGGAUGACGGCCUUCGGGUUGUAAACCUCUUUCACCAGGGACGAAGCGCAAGUGACGGUACCUGGAGAAGAAGCACCGGCCAACUACGUGCCAGCAGCCGCGGUAAUACGUAGGGUGCGAGCGUUGUCCGGAAUUACUGGGCGUAAAGAGCUCGUAGGUGGUUUGUCGCGUUGUUCGUGAAAACUCACAGCUUAACUGUGGGCGUGCGGGCGAUACGGGCAGACUAGAGUACUGCAGGGGAGACUGGAAUUCCUGGUGUAGCGGUGGAAUGCGCAGAUAUCAGGAGGAACACCGGUGGCGAAGGCGGGUCUCUGGGCAGUAACUGACGCUGAGGAGCGAAAGCGUGGGGAGCGAACAGGAUUAGAUACCCCGGUAGUCCAA
rnacentral:rRNA from 1 species